UGAUCAGAACAAAUCGUACCUCUCCGUCGUCUCCUGGCUUCUGCUCUCAUAGCCCAUUGUUCCAUUCAUCGUUCCAUUUUAAGUUCCUCAGUUCAAGCGGUACAGUUUGGUCGAUUGGAUCGGUCGAUUGCACUUCGCGGCCGGCAUUAUUUUGGAUAGAACCGAUUGGUGCUGUUGCAACUUCACGCACGGUUCAAAGUGCAAGCAGAAUAUGAACACAACAAUCAUUACCGCUGCUUGGCGAUAAUGCCUAUCUGCAUUAGUUACUCAUCGUAGUUCAAUGUGAAAUUUGUCCGCUGCUCUGCAAGUUUAAUCCAUUACGCUCAUUUGAGUUGAUCGGCUGGUUUGUGUUGCUGUGUAAAAAGGUUACUUGAGUGCAUAGUCAGUUCGCUGAUGAAUUAACCCUGCAAUAAUUCUGCUACUCCAGGUGUUAAUAGUACAACAGCAGGAAGAAAAUGCGCCAACAACUCUACAAAGUAUUAUUAGGAUCUAUGGAAGUACUAAGCAAUUUAUGUACAGACAUAAAAAUAUGCAAAUAUGUUGCUACAAGUAGCGAAAUGGUUUGGAGUGCGAAGUUGCCAGUAGACAAAGAAGUUCAGACAAAGAAAAAAUUCAAAGAAAUCGUUGAUAUUAGGUUAUUAAGUGCAUUCAGUGAAUUUUAUUAGGAUGAACGCGUUGUGUUAAUAACUGUGGUAAUGAACUGUGCAAUCGUAACAUGAUGAAGUAAUUUGUGUAUGUUAUUCAUGGCAGGAAGAUCGUACGUAUAAUAUUUACUAGUCAUUCACAUAUUAAUUCAAUGAGAUAACAUUAGUAGCAAUGUAGCCUCAGAAAUGGGCCGAGUGUUUACUCCUUCAAUCUUAGAUGUUGGAGCUAUUUUCGUGUAAUGAAAUUUACAUACGCAAGCGCACGCAUUUCCUGGCUCCCGGUCUCAAAAGAAGAUGUUUGUUAUGUGAGUUAUAAACAAGAGUGGCCCGUUGUGAUAAAUAUGUGAUGAUGGGAAAGUGUUAUGGAUUUGAUUGUAUGUU